GGGGUUGUGGCUCAGUGUUAAGAGUGCUCGCCUAGUAUGUGCGAGGCCCUGGGUUUGAUCCUCAGCACCACA
rnacentral:tRNA from 1 species